UGCCCCAGUAACGGCGAGUGAAGCGGCAGCAGCUCAAAUUUGAAAUCUGGCCCCCCCCCCCGGGGGGCCCGAGUUGUAGUUUGCAGAGGACGCUCUGGGCGCGGCGCCUUCCGAGUUCCCUGGAACGGGACGCCACAGAGGGUGAGAGCCCCGUCCGGUCGGACGCCAGGCCCGUGUAGAGCCCCUUCGAAGAGUCGAGUAGUUUGGGAAUGCUGCUCAAAGCGGGAGGUAUAUGUCUUCUAAAGCUAAAUACCGGCCAGAGACCGAUAGCGCACAAGUAGAGUGAUCGAAAGAUGAAAAGCACUUUGGAAAGAGGGUUAAAGAGCACGUGAAAUUGCUGAAAGGGAAGCGCCCGCGACCAGACGUGGGCCCGGCAGACCACCCGCCGCUCGUCGGCGGGGCACUCCGCCGGGCCCAGGCCAGCAUCAGCCCGGCGCGGGGGACAAAGGCGGCGGGAACGUGGCUCCCCCAGGGGAGUGUUAUAGCCCGCCGCGCAACGCCCCGCGGCCGGGCUGAGGCACGCGCACCGCACGGAUGCUGGCGUAAUGGUCGCCGGCGACCCGUCUUGAAACACGGACCAAGGAGUCGUCCUCGCAUGCGAGUGUUGGGGUGGCAAACCCCCGCGCGGAAUGAAAGUGAACGCAGGUGGGAGCCCCCUCCCGGGGCGCACCACCGACCGAUCCUGACGUCCUCGGAUGGAUUUGAGUAGGAGCAUGCGGGGCCGGACCCGAAAGAAGGUGAACUAUGCCUGCGUAGGGUGAAGCCAGAGGAAACUCUGGUGGAGGCUCGCAGCGGUUCUGACGUGCGAAUCGAUCGUCAAACGUGGGCAUGGGGCGAAAGACU
rnacentral:rRNA from 1 species